rnacentral:lncRNA from 1 species
UCAAAUAAUUUAAAUUAUCAGUUUGACUAUACUAAAAACAUGAGCAACAAUGACUAGCAUGAUUCAAAUAGAACGGAAUGUAUCGAGCAAUGUCUAGAGUAUACGUGAGACAUUAUGAUAUAUCUGUCCCUUUGAGUUACCCAUCAAUUAACCAUAGCUUUUUUAGUCUGAGGAAAUAUAUUACUUACUAAUGAUGCAAUGAACCAUAUACAAUUGCGGCAAUGCAGGCGACUGUUACGUCAAUGAAGAGAGCCAGAGAGCAAAGAGUAAAUCUUUCCAAAACCGAUACCUAAUUAAAGUGCGAACAUAGAAGUAUUCCAGAAUUUUAAAUAUUAAUCCAAACGAGCAAAACAUAUGCCCUUGUCAGGUUCAGGUUCAGGUACACCUCUUUUGACAAGAAAACAUAGUAAACAAGAAAACAUAGUAACAACAUAAAGAGAAGCAACAUCGAACCCUGGUUGUUGUUCUUCAGUUUAGCCACCCAUUUCAAUCAAAACUUCAGAGUAACAGAAUUCAUAUUUUGUUGAAAGCAACAAUAUCACAGCUCUGAACAUACUUCUGUCACAAACAGUAAGCAGAUGAUCAACAGGGAAGCCAAAAAUAACAUGAUAAAACAUGGAAUUUAAUACUCUGAAACUAAAAAAUUGAACAGUUUAUAAUUUACUUACAUAUUUUGUUGAAAGCAACAAUAUCACAGCUCUGAACAUACUCAUUGAUAGGUUCAACCGUAAAAUAAUUCUCAACAAGAUCGUCCACAGAGACCAAGUCAUCCACAAUGGUAAGCAUGAUUUGCAGCUUCUUAAUACCAUAUCCAACAGGAACAAGUUUAGAUGCUCCAUAAGUCAAUCCUUCCAUCUGAACACUUCGAAUAGCUUCUUCAAGCUUCUUCAUAUCAGUCCUGUGCAAAUAAAACCACAAUGUGAUUGUCAAUUAACACAAACGGUUUAACAGCUUUCCAAGACAACCUCCUAAAUAAUAUUCAGGUUAGAUCAACAAUAUCACAAGAAAGAAAAGCUAAAAGAUACUAGAAUGAUGAAAAAGCAAUUCUCACUUCCAAUAAAAAUAAAAAUUCAACACAAUAGAACAAAGAACAGAAGCUCACAUGCUCCAUAAGUCAAUCCUUCCAUCUGAACACUUCGAAUAGCUUCUUCAAGCUUCUUCAUAUCAGUCUCAUCAUCCCAUGGCUUGACAUCCAAGAGAACUGAGGACUUGCCAG